GGCGCACGGGUGCGUAACGCGUAUGCAAUCUACCUUUUACAGAGGGAUAGCCCAGAGAAAUUUGGAUUAAUACCUCAUAGUAUUAUUGAAUGGCAUCAUUUAAUAAUUAAAGUCACAACGGUAAAAGAUGAGCAUGCGUCCCAUUAGCUUGUUGGUAAGGUAACGGCUUACCAAGGCAACGAUGGGUAGGGGUCCUGAGAGGGAGAUCCCCCACACUGGUACUGAGACACGGACCAGACUCCUACGGGAGGCAGCAGUGAGGAAUAUUGGUCAAUGGGCGCAAGCCUGAACCAGCCAUGCCGCGUGCAGGAUGAAGCAUCUAUGGUGUGUAAACUGCUUUUGUACGAGAAGAAACACUCCUUCGUGAAGGAGCUUGACGGUAUCGUAAGAAUAAGGACCGGCUAACUCCGUGCCAGCAGCCGCGGUAAUACGGAGGGUCCAAGCGUUAUCCGGAAUCAUUGGGUUUAAAGGGUCCGUAGGCGGUUUUGUAAGUCAGUGGUGAAAGCCCAUCGCUCAACGGUGGAACGGCCAUUGAUACUGCAAGACUUGAAUUACUAGGAAGCAACUAGAAUAUGUAGUGUAGCGGUGAAAUGCUUAGAUAUUACAUGGAAUACCAAUUGCGAAGGCAGGUUACUACUAGUGGAUUGACGCUGAUGGACGAAA
rnacentral:rRNA from 1 species